GAUGAAGAACGUAGCGAAAUGCGAUAAGUAAUGUGAAUUGCAGAAUUCAGUGAAUCAUCGAAUCUUUGAACGCAUCUUGCGCUCCUUGGUAUUCUGAGGAGCAUGCCUGUUUGAGUGUCAUUAAAUUCUCAACUACACUGUCUUUGAAUUGGUGUGGCUUGGAUUUGGGGGGAAAAUUGUUGUGGGCUUUUUGUAUAGUCUGCUCCCCUGAAAUUGAUUAGCGGUACCUUUGUGGAACUGUCUACAGGUGUGAUAAUUAUCUACAUCUUAGACAUCUGCUGGAAUGCUGCUUUCUAAACCUUACUUGUAUUGACAAUCUUGACCUCAAAUCAGGUAGGACUACCCGCUGAACUUAAGCAUAUCAAUAAGCGGAGGA
rnacentral:misc_RNA from 1 species